rnacentral:ncRNA from 1 species
AAAAGCCGGAUGCGGGAAAUCCGCAAGUCCGGUUUUGUGAGGGUUGCGAGAAAGUGAUUUCUCCCUCUACUCGAC